AAUUGGGCGCACGUCCUUCUCUAAUCGACAUGUUCGAUUCUCUUUGGUCACCUGCGAAAUGUAACUAGAAGCAACAGCAGAAUCAAUUUUUCGCAAAAACACUCGAAAAAACCGUUAAAAGUGAGAGCGAGAAAAAACACGUCACCUUGCGUUUAAUCGUAGUGAGGAUAUAACCUGAUGCAUAAGUGUGGUCUACAUAUAUAGCCUUUGGUUGGGUGAUGUUCACAUGUGUACUACGAUCGAAACAGCAACUUGACAGAUUACGCAUUUUCGGCUGGUAACCAUCUAGUUACCUCUGUGGUGUGUGGGUUUUGGAAAACGCAUCCAAGUGUUGUUACAUUUCCAGGUCCGAUUUUGGUUGAUUUCGUCGUACCGGUGUCCUGGCCUGGCGUGGCCUGUGCGAGUUCUGUGCAGAUCCUGUGUCGGGUCGUGUGUGCUUCUUCUAUUGGGGUUUUCUUUUGUACGGUCCGUGGAUAUGAAAAGCCAGCCCAACAGCCAGCAGCUGUAUCACACCCGCCACCGUGCGUCUCCAUGAGAAUGCGUCUAAGUGGUGGACGCUUUUAUCUCUGAAACAGGAUCAACAUCAAAGCAUCAACCGGCGGCAGAAUUUAAAAAAGAACUUAUUACCCAGCCUGGAUGGACGCAAGUCUUUAAAGUAUGAAUGCAAAAGUAUUGAAAACCUCGCCCGGAUUGGAACAUAGAGAACUAAAAAAAACAUGAAAUUGGUUUUUGAAUUUGAAUGAUUGUGAACAUUAACAUUUAAUCGCGUAGCGAAAACGUUUACUUUUUGUUGCAGGGAGAGUCUUCCAAACACGCGGAUGCGUGCCUUUGAUGGAAACGGUUUAUUUCGCGGAUUCUAAUUACACCUCGUAAAAUGGUACCCGUUUUUCGGUCGCGAUGUCGAGAUGCCGCCGAGAUGAAGCGUGCGAAUUUGUGAAUUGCGAUGGCGAGAAAGCACCCGAUCGCGCACGAAUCGCGCGGCUCAUUCGCCUCCUCGAACACGAACCAAUGUCCCAAUGUCGAACGUCAUCUAUCGGCGAGAUUUAGUACUAUUCAGAAUCGCUGAAUCUUUUACUGCCAACCGAAGCCGUACUUUGUAGUUUUUGUGGGAUCGUCGCAACCGCGCAAGGUGGAUGCAAUCCAAGAUCAGGUGAGGAAAGAUAUAGACGAAGACUAAGAAAUCAUUAA